rnacentral:tRNA from 1 species
UAGACUAGUGGUUAAGGCUCUGGAUCGACAAUCCGGAGACGGCGGGUUCGAUUCCCGU